rnacentral:lncRNA from 1 species
AAAUCACCGACUUAAAGAAAAGUAUUGAUUAGUAUAUAAUCCGUAUGUUGGAUACCUACAAAUGUCAUACAACAUUUACUGGUAAACAUGUGCCGUGGAAUUAAGAAAGAUGUUUACAUUUAUCAUCACAAUAAAGUGAACAAUAUAAAAUUGAGUAAAGAAUUUAACCUUCUACCCUUAAACUGCUUGGAAGAGGCAACUGAAAAUAAACCUAUAAUUGUUACCCGUUGUGCAUAUAAUUUGCUGCGAGCACGAGAAGAGCAACGAGGAGCUUUACAAAAGCUUACGCCGGAACAGAUAAAAAGAACAAUUUAUGUAUUAUUUUGCGAUGCGAUGGUAUCUGACACAACAUUCGAGCCACUAGAAGGAUAUCAAGUUCAUGGGACAAUCAUUUUGUUACAAAAACCAAAGUUCUUAUCGGUGGACAGGUUUUACUUUUUAAAAGCCUUUUUUGAUAGGCGUAAUUUAGUCGAAAAUUGUGUAAAAGACUGUUAUACAAUGUUACCUUAGCUUUUCUUAAAACACUGUCAUGACGUCACUCCUUUGUAUUCGCAGUAGUGUAAUGCUUUUUGUUAGAUAUUGGACAAUUAAUAUGAUAUCGGACCGCACAAUUAUACACAAUCAAUUUUAUCGUGUAUUCCAAUAUACAGCAAUAACUGGAUUGUAUACAAGUACAUGAUUGAAACCCAAUAAGGACAGUCCAAUAUUAAAACUUUUAUGUUUAGAUGUCUAAUCAAUACCGAAGUAAUUGCAAAAAAAAAACGUUUUAUAUAGCAUUAUGCAAUUCUUUGCAUGAGUCGAUGUAGUCUAACUCCCGAAAUGACACUUUCCUAGAGCAACAAUUUCCCUUAUCAAUUAUUCAUGUUUAGUGAGGCUUCAUGUUUUAAGAAGAACUGUGUUAGAAAUUUUGACCCUUCUCUGUAUCAAACAUAGUGUUAAUAGACCAAUGAUGUUCGUUUUAAGAGACUGUCUGUAAGCCUAGCAUCAAAGGAUCCUGGAUUUCGUGACGAGGGAGAGCCCGGUUAUCUAAUGCUUGUAUUAACUUGAAAAGUAAAUGAACUACUGUCCUACCGUUAACUGAAAGAAUUUAAUCAACAAUAAUAAUCUAUGACUGUUUCAGUUUGACAGCUUCAGUCAUAAAAGUAGUAGUAAUAAUUUACAAAGGCCGAGUGGAUAAUUACAUCCGCAUACAUAGUCCUUUGUUUGUUAAUGUCACAACCCACAGUUUAUCUAUAUGUGAUGGAAAAACCCAACUGAUGCUAUGAGUAUAACUUACUUUCAUGAUAUUCAUACGCGUUUCUGACUGUUUAUGUAAACGCCUGCAAAUUGUACUUGUGUUUUGAGUACUGUCAGGAACUUUUGGCAAUAACCAUACGAUUUAUAUACCAUUUUGUUCAGACUGUCUAUUUGAAAAGGAAAAGAAUGCAAAUAUUAUGACUGAUAUUUUAUCACAGUGUUUUGGAAUUUGUACUCGUAUAUUCUAUUUUAUUUUAUGCCUUCGAAUGAAAUACUGAGAUAAAAUUUGCAAUUUUACAGUGAAAAAUAUCAAAUAUAUUUUUCAAUGUUCUCCAGUUGCGACAAUAACAGAAUAAGAGUACUUAUAAGUGUACUAAUCAAAUUCGUGCCGAAGCCAUGGCUUCUUCUUUCGUCCCGCUAUACGCAGUGUAUUAAAGAUCGUGUAAAGCUCAAUGAUCAUGUCAAGCUUUUGAGACCACCCCUCGAGUAAAUUUUCAUUUUGGAAAUUAUACCUGACAGGCCUGUAAUAUUCAUUUUUUGUAACAUUGCAGUCUUUUUGUCAUUUUGACAGCUCUUCUUUCACUUUCAUUUUCCAAUCUUUUGCAUUUGUUUGAAAUGAACAUGGUUUGUCACACUUUCAACUCCCGGAGUAACUGGAGAAGUAUGUUAGACACACAAAAAUCAUUAAAGUAAUGACAAAAUACUUUUAAAAAAGACACUUAAUAUCUUAUGCAAAAUAGAACAUGAACAGUCGAAGAACGUGUGAUAUAGGACAAAAUGCAUUAUUAAUGGAGAAUAACCUAUCUUAAAAGUGUCUUCUUAUUUUGAACAGUUUGGUAUAUUCCUUAUGAUAAACAAGGCCUAUGAGGCGUAGAAAACUAAACCAAAAAUUCAUCCGAGGGGAGGUUUCAAAAGACUUUACAAGAACCUUUACAGUAACAAAAAUAAAUAAAAAAUGUUUUCCUAAGUGGUUUAAACUUACUUCUCCAUUGGUUAUGUCAUAGAAAACACUGUUUCAUAUAAGAUAUGAACCUCAAACGAUCCAAUAUGCAAACUGCUGGUGGAAGGAACUUACCGCUGACGCGCUUCGGACAUUCCAAUAUUUUACAUAUUUGAUCGUUUUCGUUUUAUAUCCUAUACAUAAUAAGUCAUAUUGCUAUAAUCUUUAAAUACAACAUUGCUGUAAUUCGGCAAUACAAAAAAUAAAAUGUAAACAGAAAUUAUAUAUACUAUGCCACGGUAAUACGAAUUUAUCAAUUGUUGCAGUAUUAUACUUACAUGUUCUCUUCGUAUACUUAUGACAUAUUUUGCCCAUUGAGUUCUAGAAGUAUCACCUUGGUUUGAAAGAAGUGUAAAACUUAUUUAUUUUUUUAUCAAGAUAAUGCAAAGCAGAACCAUGUUUUAGUGUAUUUACCCAUGGUUUAGUGUAUUUAAACAAUAUGGAAAUGGUUAUGCGCUUGUGGAAUCUGCUACAUAUCUUUAUAUAUAUAUAUACAUAUAUUCUUCAAAAAAUACGACUUGUAUUGCACAAGUAAAUGUGAAUAGGCAGAGCAAAUUUCAGUAUUGUACCUUUAGUAUUGUAUGUUGCCGAACUACUUUAUUUAAUAUGUAUGUCCUGACACAGUUCUAUAAAUAGAUCUAGAUUACUCAAAAUUUUCACUUAUUUCUAUUUAAACAUCGGCAAACAUUGAAGAUUUCCUUCGAAAACAAAACUACAAACAGGUGAACGUAUAUAAUAAAAGGGUCCUUACAACAGUAGCUAUAUCUGGGAUUUUAUAUUCGGCUCUCGUGUAAUUUGCAAGGUUGGAUCACACUCGGCGCUUGUGCACCUCGUGAAAUUCGAUCGUGCAAAAUUCACUCAAGCCGAAUAAAGCAAUCCAGAUCGAGCUACUAUUAUAAUAACCUUAUUGUAUUUUAUAUAAAAACAUGGAUGAAAUAGGACAGGAAGGAAUACUUGUUGACGAAAGUAUGGCGCAAAACAGUAGGUAGACGUGACGUAAACACGACAGUAUCUUUAGCGCAUUUAGAUAAUAUGUAUGAUGUAUGUGAAAAAAGGAGAAAAUAUCGGAAACAAAAAGAAAAAAUAUCUGUACCAUGCAAUAGCUAGCCCCCGCAAUAUAGCGGGGCUUGUUUUCUUUUAUAUCAAUUUUAUCACCGUUUUCAAUGUGGGUCCCUUUAAAUCAAAUAAUUUCAUGACUUGAUUCGCCUGUUCGUUUAUAAGAAACAAAUGACAAAUCUACCGAAAUAGAUGGACUAUCUAUAUACUUCUUAUAGCUGGUUAGAAACACAUAAAGAUGGAGAACUUACUUAUCAAAACAGAACUUCAGUUUCAUCUGACCACAAUUAUCUUUUAAAUAAUAACCAGGAAACUGU